rnacentral:rRNA from 1 species
GACGAACGCUGGCGGCGUGCUUAACACAUGCAAGUCGAACGGAAAGGCCCUGCUUUUGUGGGGUGCUCGAGUGGCGAACGGGUGAGUAACACGUGAGUAACCUGCCCUUGACUUUGGGAUAACUUCAGGAAACUGGGGCUAAUACCGGAUAGGAGCUCCUGCUGCAUGGUGGGGGUUGGAAAGUUUCGGCGGUUGGGGAUGGACUCGCGGCUUAUCCGCUUGUUGGUGGGGUAGUGGCUUACCAAGGCUUUGACGGGUAGCCGGCCUGGGAGGGUGACCGGCCACAAUGGGACUGAGAUACGGCCCAGACGCCUACGGGAGGCAGCAGUGGGGAAUAUUGCACAAUGGGCGGAAGCCUGAUGCAGCAACGCCGCGUGCGGGAUGACGGCCUUCGGGGUGUAAACCGCUUUCGCAUGUGACGAAGCGUGAGUGACGGUAAUGGGUAAAGAAGCACCGGCUAACUACGUG